rnacentral:rRNA from 1 species
AUUGAACGCUGGCGGCAGGCCUAACACAUGCAAGUCGAGCGAGCGGCGGACGGGUGAGUAAUGUAUGGGGAUCUGCCUGAUGGAGGGGGAUCACUACUGGAAACGGUAGCUAAUACCGCAUACCAUCAGAUGAACCCAUAUGGGAUUAGCUUGUAGGGGGGGUAACGGCUCACCUAGGCGACGAUCCCUAGCUGGUCUGAGAGGAUGAUCAGCCACACUGGGACUGAGACACGGCCCAGACUCCUACGGGAGGCAGCAGUAGGGAAUAUUCGGCAAUGGGCGCAAGUCUGAUCGAGCAAUGCCGCGUGUGUGAAGAAGGUUUUCGGAUCGUAAAACUCUGUUGGUAGAGAAGCGGUAUCCAAACAGAAAGCCACGGCUAACUCCGUGCCAGCAGCCGCGGUAAUAC